GCAACCUAUCUACUUUCCCUAAUACUAUCUAUGUUAAUACUUCGCCCGAGGAAUCGCCAUUUUGUGUAUACGUGCACUAAGUAGCAAUGUUUCGAUAGUUGUUAAGCCGCGGUCCAACGAUCGGAGGAUCAUCACAGAUGUGGUCGCAUAACUUUCACCCUUCCGGACCCAUGACCGGAGAAAUCUUCAGACGGCACGCGAUCCCCUUUCGACCGCUCAAAACCCUCAGUUUCUCUGACCCCCCCCCCCCCAUAGCUCAAACAAAUUUUCUGGUGCUUUGAUGUUUAUCCAUUUACUGACAUUUUGCGUGAAGCUACAGGCGUACCACGGGGAAGUGUGAUCCCCCAGUGGGUCAGAUGUCAUAUUUAUGACCGAAUCCGUGAGGUAGCAGGUCGUUGGACCGCCCCUUUAGUGUAAUAAAGACUUUAUUUUUCUAAUAGCGAUGAAAUGCUUUAUACAACACUCUACAUGAACAUCACCACAAAAGCUUUAAUUAAAAUAUUAUUAAUAUAAAUGAGCAGGAAAAUAUGCAAGAAGUAGAUUGGAGUAAAGAUAAACAAAAUAUAAGUUUAGAUUAUUUUAUUUUAGUUCAUAUUUUAACAAAAUAGAAAUCUGUUAUUUGCUAUAUUGAAAUAGUUGAGAGAAAAUAUGAGGAAGCUUUGAAUAUUUUUAAGAUAUAAUUUAUAAGGAGAAAUGAAAAAGGAAAUUUUAUUUUCCCACAAGAAACUGUCUGUUAUGUCAUUGAUGAAAUAAACAUAAUUGCGACGCUGCAUCCAAUAGUUAGAUAUAAGUAUAUAUUUUUUUAUUUGAUUUGGUUUUUAUGAAUAUAAAAUAAAACAAAUGUUGUAAUUUUCUGUGAGCCUUAGGUAUGUAAGUAUAUUUAUUAACUUUUUGCAACGUUUUGAAAAUUAAAUCUGAAUUUUCAUUUUCAAAAACAUACCAUAUCCUUAAUUCAUGUGAAGGAGGGCAUUUUUCUUGCUAAUGUAAUUGGUUUACAAUCCAAAAAUUUUAAUUAUUGCUGUCAAAUUUUUGUUUUUUUUAAUUUGUUAAAAUGUUAUUCUGAAAAUUCCCAUAUUGUUCCUGUGGAAAAUAAUUUAUGAGAAAUAUUUUUGUUAAAAUUGUGCCAUAUUUCCCUUACAUGUUGUUCAAAAUAUAAUUACUCUUUAACGGCAGAAAUAAUAUCAUGUUUGUGAUCUCACAUAUUCAAUUAAAUGAUAAUAUUUACUCCUUCAACUAAAAUACUUUUGUAUUUAAAAGAAAGAUUUAGAUUCAUAUAAAAGUUUGUAUUCUCCAUUUCUUAUUUUUUCUACGAGUUUUUAUAUACAAAUAUUUGUACAUUUUCUGAUUUUAAGAGUAGCAUUUUGUGUCUUAAUUUAGUUCAUUAUGGGGGGGGGGUAUUGUUGUUUUCUAUGCAUGCUACUUUUUCACCUUUUUGACUUUUUUGAAAAUACAGUUACUUUACAUUAGCUUUUUCUUCUGAUCAUUAUUUAAUCAUGAAUAUCCUUUAUUAUGUACACAUUUAUAAUUUUGCAUCUAAACUAAAUAAGAUUUCAUAAUGUUGCUUGCUUUGAAAAUUGCUGUCAUCCUUAUUAUUUUUUAAAGCAUAGUUAUUUAGAAAUGUUAUUGUAUAUUCUUAAUUUAAGUAGCUAAUGAAUUCGACAUUUUAUUUUAUUGUUGAAAGACAUAUUUAACCUAUUACAUGUCAAUAACAUUUAAUAAAUGGGUUAAUAAUGUAUAGGAGGUUUCCUCAGAUUCUACAAAAUGUAUUUGAACAAACUAGCUAUUGUUAGUAGUUGACUCUGCAGGGAUGAAACCAAGGAAUGAUGAAUGCAAGGUCUAUAUAGCUUAGAUAUGUUUAGUUAUACAGUGAUUUCUUUAUUUUCAAAUUAAAAUAAAUAGUCGGUAUUCUGUUUCUCUAUCAUGAAAUUAGCAUUUAAUUAAUGAGAACUUCAAAAUUAAUUUCUAACUUUUUAAUUUAAAAUAUCUUAUAACUUGAUAAAAUCAUAUGCUGGGUGAUUCAAAACUCCGUUAACAUUUGAAAAUUCACCCUAUCCUUUCGAAUGCCCUUCUUAUGGUGAUAGGAUCAUAAAACUGCCAUAGCAGAUGCUCGAUUCUGAAGUACAACUUCAUUAACAGAGCCUUUUUGGGUAAAGGCGUGAUUUCUAGUGUACCAUAUUUCCUUACUCACUGCAGCUCAUUAUCUCAUACCGCAUCACUGACAUUUUCCUAUCCAGUGCUCUUUUUUCCACUUUUUUUUUGUUUGUUUGUUUCAAUAAAACCCAAUAGCAUUCCAAGCAUGUGUCAAUUUUUACCUAAAUACUAUUGUUAUUUCUUAAAUUAUUAAAUUUUCAUAUGUUAACAAACUUUAGAAUCACUUGUUGUAGCUGUCUUGGAGAUUCUGUUUUACUUGCAAACUCUUUCACUUAAUAAAAUUGAAAUUCUCUUAUUUGUUUUAAUGCAUUUAAUACAAUUUUGUUUACAGUGAUGAAAAAAAUAUGAUAUUUUAUAAAGAUAUUUUUCCCUGUUGUUAAAAUAAAAACUUUAUGUAUCAUUAUUUGUCAAACUGAUAUAAUUUUGUUGUAUACAUACAUAUAUAUGUUAAUGUACGUUUUCAGCCUCUCCUCCUUUACCUCCACCACCUACUGAAGAUGAUAGUUUGUAUAAUCAAAAUUAUAAUCCUCCAUCUCCGCCUUUUCUUCACCGAAAUCAUGAUCCUGAUUGGGUUCCAAAGAACUAUCUUGAAAAGGUUGUGGCUAUUUAUGAUUAUGCAGCUGAUAAAGAAGAUGAGCUUUCUUUCUCUGAGAAUGCAAUUAUUUAUGUUCUGAAGAAAAAUGAUGAUGGAUGGUAUAAAGGUGUAAUGAAUGGAAUAACAGGUCUUUUUCCUGGAAACUAUGUUGAACCAUGCUUAUAAAAAUAUUGAUAUAAUGGAGUGUUUUAUAAAUGAUGAAAUUGGAGAAAUUUCUGAUACCAAAGGAACAUUUGCAUAUAUUUGAAAAAGAAAUUUUGAGUUUAUGAAAAAUUAUAUAUUAUUCUACAUAUUCAAUAUAUAGUAAUUUUUCAUAUUAUUCAAAGAAUAAGACAUAAAAUAAUUCACAUUAUUUUCAUUUGCAGAUUUAUGAAUAAAUCAUUCAUAAACUUCCCCACAUCACCAAGUUUGGAUAUUUAAGCUGUCUAAAAUAAUUUGAAAAUUUUCAUAUAGGUUGACUUUAAUAUACUGUAUAAUCUUUCAGAUUGGCACUUUUCUUGAUAAUAUAAAAAAAUAGAUAAUUCUGAGAUUACUUGAAAAGUAAUAUCUUGAUUAAUUGUGAUUGUAAAUUUAUGUAAUGUUCAAAACAUUGUCUUUUCAAAAAGACACUUUUCCAUGUAUGAGGCUUAUCAGAGGAAGAGUUUUUUGAAACUCAACUUCAUUUCACUUCUCUAAUAUCUCUUGAACGAUUAAGAAUUCGUGUCAUAUUUCAAUAUGUCAUUUUCCUGUUUUACCAAAGUUUUUAGUUUUUUCCAUUCAAUUAAUUGGUUUUCAAUUUAUAUAAAACGAAUGCAUAUGAAUAUUUUACAAAAAGUCAUGUUUGUAGUAUUAAAUACUUCACAAUGGAUAUUGUUUCACUCAGUCGCUCUUUACUAGAUUAUCUUGUUGGCUCAAUGAAAGGUAUUUUUAAUAUUUUAUGCAAGAUUUAAUUAUGACUGUAAUUUAUAUGUGUGAAAAUUUUAAGAUUAAUUGUUGUACCGCCUUAUUCUUUAAAAUUGUAUUUGUUAUCUCAAAGUUAGCUGCAGAUUUUCAAAAUUACGUUUUUAGAAAAUAUUUAAUAUUGAUUUUUUUUUAUGAUUAUGUUAAUACAAGGUUUUUGAAUUUUUAGAAAUAACCUGUAAGUUUCAAGAAAUUCUUGUUUUAAAAUUUGACUAAUUUUAGAUUUUUUUAAAAAUAUAUUUUAAUAUCUUAGUUUAAAAUAGGAUAGUCUUUUAGGGAAUGUGAGAGAGAAGGAUCUCAUAUGUUAUAUUGUGCAUUAUUAUUUUUUUAAUCAAAAAGAAUAUAGCUUUUAAUAUACUGAUGCGCUUUUUCAAUCUAAAAAUUUGCUAGUAAUUGAAAUUAAUUUUAUGUCUUGAAAAGAAAGUGGUCUUGCUUCCUUUCAGUUUAACUAAUCCAUUUUUUUGUUGUUCUUGCAUAGUGUAUGGUUAUAUUUCUUUUGCAUGUCUGUGUUCAUUGCCGAAGUAUUGUAAAUUUAAAAAUGGUUUUGUAUGUAUUUUGAAUUUUUCUGGUUUUUAACUUGCUUUAUUCUAAGAUUAUUGAAUGAUAUUCAGAUUAUUAUGGAACCAUGAUUAUUAUAUUUUCUGCUGCUUUAUAUGUGGAACUACUACUUCAUUAUAGCAAAAUACUUAUGGGUUUUUUAGAAUUGUGCCUCAUGGUAAACAAUAUGAAAAAAAAAAACAGGAUUUCCAAUAAAAGAAACCAAAAUAAUACUGAUUGAUUUUAAGGAUAAGAUCAGGUGUCAUUUGAAGCCACAUUAAAAGCAGAUUUAAAGUUUUUGUUACGAACAUUUCCUUCUGUGAUGCUCCCUUUUUUAUAUUUGUAAUUUUAAGAGCACAAAUUGUGUAUUCAAAAAUAAUAAGUUUAAUUUGAGAACUGCUUUAGUAUGCACUAUGAAUCUGGCAACUCUAACAAUCAAAUGGAGUAUUUUCUCUAGCAAAUUUCCAGCUUAUGUUUUUUGUUUAACUGUGCACCUACUACAUGAAUUUUAAGAGAAUUGAAAAUUAAAACUAAUUAGAAAAACAUUAUUUAUCCAAAAAUUAAAAUAUGAAUUUAAUUUCGAGGCAAUUUCAUUACUAUGCCAAAAAUUUAAGAACAUACAUUUCGUGAGGCAUCCAUUGUGGAAAUAAAUUAAUAAGAAACGAUAUCAACAUUUUAAAAUUUCAGUAAUAUCCUCAUCCUAGUAAAGAGUGAUUGGUUCAGUUUUUGAAAAUAAACCAUUUCUGUGGUAAGAAAUCUGUUUCUGAAAAGAGAAAUUCAAACUUUUUCUUGAUAUCUCGAGGACUUUUCAUUAGUUUGAUAAACAUUUAACAACAGAAAUUUCAUGUGCAUGUAUUGUGGAUAUAAAUUAAGAACAAGCUGUAUCUGUAUAUUUCCACUUUAAUCAUGAUAUCAUCGUCCUAAUCGAAAAUGAUUGGUGCAGUAUUUGAGGACAACAAUCCAUUUCUUUAGUGAAAAACAGGUUUCUCAAAACAGAAAUUCGCACCUUUUCUUGAUAUCUCGAGGACAUUUUAUUAGAGGGUCAAACAUUUAACCACAUAUAUUUCGUGUGGCAUCUAUUAUGUAUAUAGAUUAAGAAAAAGCGAUAUCUGCACCUGUCCAUUUCAAUGAUAUCAUAAUCGAAGGUGAAAACGAUUGAUUCAGUUUUUGAGAAGAAGAAGCCGUUUCUCUGGACAGAAACAAAUUUCGCAAAGUAGAUAUUCGAACUUCUUGAUAUCUCGAGUAGAUUUUAUUAGUAUGCCAAAUAUUUCGUGUGUCAUCUAUUGUGGAUAUAUAUUAAGAAAAAGCCAUAUCUGCGCCUUUGCAUUUCAGUGAUAUCAUCAUCCAAGUUGAAAAUAAUUGGCUGAGUUUUUGCUUGAAUAGAAAGCGGUUCUCUUGUAAGGAACAGGUUUCGCAAAGCAGAAAUUUGAACUUUUCUUGAUAUCUCGAGGUCAUUUUAUUAGUAUGCCAAACAUUUAACAACAUACAUUUCGUGUGGCAUCUAUUGUGGAUGUAAUUUAAGAAAAGGCGAUAUCUGCAGCUGUCCAUUUCAAUGAUACCAUAAUCCAAGGUGAAAACGAUUGGUUCAGUUUUUGAGAAGAAGAAGCCGUUUUUCUGGCCAGAAACAAAUUUCGCAAAGUAGAUAUUUGAACUUUUUCUUGAUAUCUGGAGGACAUUUUAUUAGUAUGCCAAAUAUUUCGUGUGUCAUCUAUUGUGGAUAUAUAUUAAGAAAACGCCAUUUCUGCGCCUUUGCAUUUCAGUGAUAUCAUCAUCGAAAAUGAAAAUAAUUGGCUCAGUUUUUGAUUGAAUAGAAGGCGGUUCUCUUGUAAGGAACAGGUUUCGCAAAGCAGAAAUUUGAACUUUUCUUGAUAUCUAGAGAUCAUUUUAUUAGUAUGCCAAACAUUUACCAACAUACAAUUCGUGUGGCAUCUAUUGUGGAUGUAAUUUAAGAAAAGGCGAUAUCUGCACCUGUCCAUUUAAGUGAUAUCAUCAUCCAAGUUGAAAAUAAUUGGCUCAGUUUUUGCUUGAAUAGAAGGCAGUUCUCUUGUAAGGAACAGGUUUCGCAAAGCAGAAAUUUGAACUUUUCUUGAUAUCUCGAGGUCAUUUUAUUAGUAUGCCAAACAUUUAACAACAUACAUUUCGUGUGGCAUCUAUUGUGGAUGUAAAUUAAGAAAAAGCAUCUGCACCUGUCCAUUUCAAUGAUAUCGUUAGACAAGUUGAAAAUGAUUGGUUCUAAAUUUGAGGAGUAGAGGCCGUUUCUCUAAUAAAGAACAAGUUUCGAAAAUCAGAAAUUCGAUCUUUUUCUGGAUAUCUCGAGGACAUUUUAUUAGUGGUGAUUCGAAGUGAGAAGUAGACUGUACUUUUGCUUGAACUUCUUUAUUUACACUAUAUACACUCCUUUUGCGGUGAGUAGAUCAUAUAAUACAUGGCUGAUUGCGGUAUUGCAUUGCGGUGCGCUUUGUUAAGCCUAACAAACUGAAGUUUUCAGCUUCUGAGGGGGCUGAGGAGCCGAUGCGGGUCAACGUUCUAAUGCACCCCUUAAAGACUCGACCGGAAGGGCGAGUAAAGGGGUUGCCGUAAUUUUAACAUUGCCAAGUUUGGCGUUAAGCGACAUUCGCGUGAACAAUUAGUAUGCCAAAUAUUUCGUGUGUCAUCUAUUGUGAAUAUAUAUGAAGAAAAAGCUAUAUCUACGCCUUUGCAUUUCAGUGAUAUCAUCAUCCAAGUUGAAAAUAAUUGGCUCAGUUUUUGCUUGAAUAGAAGGCAGUUCUCUUGUAAGGAACAAGUUUCGCAAAGGAGAAAUUCGCACUUUUUCUUGAUAUCUCGAGGACAUUUUAUUAGUGCGCCAAACAUUUAACAACAUAUAUUUCGUGUGGCAUCUAUUGUGUAUAUAGAUUAAGAAAAGGCAUCUGCACCUGUCCAUUUCAAUGAUAUCAUAAUCCAAGGUGAACACGAUUGAUUCAGUUUUUGAGAAGAAGAAGCCGUUUCUCUGGACAGAAACAAAUUUCGCAAGGUAGAUAUUCGAACUUUUUCUUGAUAUCUCGAGGACAUUUUAUUAGUAUGCCAAAUAUUUCGUGGGUCAUCUAUUAUGGAUAUAUAUUAAGAAAAAGACAUAUCUGCGCCUUUGCAUUUCAGUGAUAUCAUCAUCGAAGUUGAAAAUAAUUGGCUCAGUUUUUGAUUGAAUAGAAGGCGGUUCUCUUGUAAGGAACAGGUUUCACAAAGCAGAAAUUUGAACUUUUCUUGAUAUCUAGAGGUCAUUUUAUUAGUAUGCCAAACAUUUAACAACAUACAUUUCGUGUGGCAUCUAUUGUGGAUGUAAAUUAAGAAAAAGCAUCUGCACCUGUCCAUUUCAAUGAUAUCGUCAGACAAGUUGAAAAUGAUUGGUUCUAAAUUUGAGGAGUAGAGGCCGUUUCUCUAAUAAAGAACAAGUUUCGAAAAUCAGAAAUUCGAUCUUUUUCUGGAUAUCUCGAGGACAUUUUAUUAGUGGUGAUUCGAAGUGAGCAGUGAACUGUACUUUUGCUUAAACUUCUUUAUUUACACUAUAUACACUCCUUUUGUGGUGAGUAGAUCAUAUAAUACAUGGCUGAUUGCGGUAUUGCAUUGCGGUGCGCUUUGUUAAGCCUAACAAACUGAAGUUUACAGCUUCUGAGGGGGCUGAGGAGCCGAUGCGGGUCAACGUUCUAAUGCACCCCUUAAAGACUCGACCGGAAGGGCGUGUAAAGGGGUUGCCGUACUUUUAACAUUGCCAAGUUUGGCGUUAAGCGACAUUCGCGUGAACAAUUAGUAUGCCAAAUAUUUCGUGUGUCAUCUAUUGUGAAUAUAUAUGAAGAAAAAGCUAUAUCUACGCCUUUGCAUUUCAGUGAUAUCAUCAUCCAAGUUGAAAAUAAUUGGCUCAGUUUUUGCUUGAAUAGAAGGCAGUUUUGUAAGGAACAAGUUUCGCAAAGCAGAAAUUCGCAUUUUUUCUUGAUAUCACGAGGACAUUUUAUUAGUGCGCCAAAUAUUUAACAAUAUAUAUUUCGUGUGGCAUCUAUUGUGUAUAUAGAUUAAGAAAAGGCAUCUGCACCUGUCCAUUUCAAUGAUAUCAUAAUCCAAGGUGAAAACGAUUGAUUCAGUUUUUGAGAAGAAGAAGCCGUUUCUCUGGACAGAAACAAAUUUCGCAAAGUAUAUAUUCGAACUUUCUCUUGAUAUCUCGAGGACAUUUUAUUAGUAUGCCAAAUAUUUCGUGUGUCAUCUAUUGUGGAUAUAUAUUAAGAAAAAGCCAUAUCUGCGCGUUUGCAUUUCCGUGAUAUCAUUAUCCAAGAUGAAAAUAAUUGGUUCAAGUUUUGUUUGAAGGCGGUUCUCUUGUAAGGAACAGUUUUGCAAAGCAGAAAUUUGAACUUUUCUUGAUAUCUCGAUGUCAUUUUAUUAGUAUGCCCAACAUUUAACAACAUAUAUUUCGUGUGGCAUCAAUUGUGGACGUAAAUUAAGAAAAAGCGAUAUCUGCACCUGUCCAUUUAAGUGAUAUCGUCAUCCAAGUUGAAAAGUAUUGGUUUUAAAUUUGAAAAGAUUAGGCCGUUUCUCUAAUAAAGAACAAGUUUCGAAAAUCAGAAAUUCAGUCUUCUUGAUAUCUCGAGGACAUUUUAUUAGUAUGCCAAAUAUUUCGUGUGUCAUCUAUUGUGGAUAUAUAUUAAGAAAAAGCCAUAUCUACGCCUCUGCAUUUCAGUGAUAUCAUCAUCCACGUUGAAAAUAAUUGGCUCAGUUUUUGCUUGAAUAGAAGACAGUUCUCUUGUAAGGAACAAGUCUCGCAAAGCAGAAAUUCGCAUUUUUUCUUGAUAUCUCGAGGACAUUUUAUUAGUGCGCCAAUCAUUUAACAACAUAUAUUUCGUGUGACAUCUAUUGUGUAUAUAGAUUAAGAAAAAGCAUCUGCACCUGUCCAUUUCAAUGAUAUCAUAAACCAAGGUGAAAACGAUUGAUUCAGUUUUUGAGAAGAAGAAGCCGUUUCUCUGUACAGAAACAAAUUUCGCAAGGUAGAUAUUCGAACUUUUUCUUCAUAUCUCGAGGACAUUUUAUUAGUAUGCCAAAUAUUUCGUGUGUCAUCUAUUGUGGAUAUAUAUUACGAAAAAGCAAAAUCUGCUCCUUUGCAUCUCAGCCACUUUUAUAAUUAGGAACAGGUUUCGCAAAGCAGAAAUUCGAACAUUUUCUUGAUAUCUCGAGGACAUUUUAUUAGUAUGGCAAACAGUUAACAACAUGUAUAUUGUGUGGCAUCUAUUGUGGAUCUAAAUUAAGAAAAAGCAAUAUCUGCAGCUUUCUAUUUCAGUGAUAUCCUCAUAAUAGUGAAAUAUGAUUGGUUCAGUUUUUGAGUAGUAGAAGCCAUUUUUCUGGUGAGAAACUGGCCUCCCAAAACAGUAAUUCGAACUUUGUGUUGGUAUCUCUCAACAAAAUAAAAGCUGAAAUUACCUUCAAUUUAACAUAAAAUAAUAAGCAGAUUGUUGAAAUGCUUUUUUUGUUACAUUAAUUUUGAAACUGUAAGUCGAAUAAUUUCUGAAAAUAUUUUUAGACAUCUAUCAUAAAAUGUUUAUCUGGAUUUAAAUUUUAAUAGAUUUGUUUAAUUUUUAAUAGAUUUAAGAAAAGUUCAAAAAUGCGGUUUGUUCAUUGAAUUUUAAUCAUCUCAAAUUUAGUAAUUGUAGAUGAAAAUCAAAUUAAUGUAGAAUAUUUUUUAAAUUAAGAUGUAGAAUAAUUUUAAUUAUGAGGAAUUCGAUUAAUAUUAAUACUUUUUUUUAUAAAUGUUUAUCUGAUUAAGAAAUAUCUUAUUCAUAUUCAGUAUGUGAAAUAUGUUUGUGUUUUUUAUAUAUGGUUCCCAUAAUUACAAUUGUCUGUGGGCUGUUUUUUUUUCCUCCGCAAGAAAAUUUGCAAAACUAUUUUUUAAUAGUUUAAUUUAGCAAAAAUUGUUUUUAAAGGAUGCAGCUUGAAUCUUUUUAUUUCAAACUCCUAUUAUUAUUUGUAUCGUAUUCGUAUUAUAAUAUUACGAUAUCGAAUAAUAAUCGAGUUUAAUAUUUGUAAUAAUCGUAAUAUUAUUUGUGUAACUUUUUUCUAUUUAAUUUUGAAGAAAAUAUUUUGCUGUCAUCUAAAAAGGGUUUGAAACAUAUGUAUUAUUAUUGUAAUUUCGCAGCUAUAUGUUGACCGUGCUAUUUGUUAUAAAUAUACCUAUAUUUCUCUGAGGAUAUGAAAUAUGUGUAAUGUUAGUCUAUGCUUACUGUAUAAUUGAAAAUUCAAAUAAAAAAGUAGU